UACAGAGGCCCCAAGCGUUACUGAGAAUCACUGGGUUUAAAGGGUGCGUAGGCGGUUUUUUAAGUCAGUUGUGAAAUUCCCUCGCUUAACGAGUGGGACUGCGAUUGAUACUGAAGAACUUGAAUCAGGUUGAGGUAGGCGGAAUGUGACAUGUAGCGGUGAAAUGCAUAGAUAUGUCAUAGAACACCGAUUGCGAAGGCAGCUUGCUGGACCUGUAUUGACGCUGAGGCACGAAAGCGUGGGGAGCAAACAGG
rnacentral:rRNA from 1 species